rnacentral:rRNA from 1 species
AUUGAACGCUGGCGGCAGGCCUAACACAUGCAAGUCGAACGAGUGGCGGACGGGUGAGUAAUGUCUGGGAAACUGCCUGAUGGAGGGGGAUAACUACUGGAAACGGUAGAUAAUACCGCAUACCCUCGGAUGUGCCCAGAUGGGAUUAGCUAGUCGGUGGGGUAACGGCUUACCUAGGCGACGAUCCCUAGCUGGUCUGAGAGGAUGACCCGCCACGCUGGAACUGGUGCACGGUCCAGACUCCUACGGGAGGCAGCAGUGGGGAAUAUUGUACAAUGGGCGCAAGCCUGAUGCAGCCAUGCCGCGUGUAUGAAGAAGGCCGUCGGGUUGUAAAGUACUUUCAGCGGGGAGGCGUUACCCGCAGAAGAAGCACCGACUAACUCCGUGCCAGCCGCCGCGGUAAUAC